AUAUGACAAUAGCAAAACAGGCGAAAGCCUGUGACGCAAAGCUAUCAGGGUCUGUAAAAUGACAGCCAGCUGCCGAC
rfam:Robinsoniella sp. RHS robin_c35, whole genome shotgun sequence.